GGCUCAGUGGUCUAGUCGUAUGAUCCUUGCUUCGGGUAACUCCCUUUCACUAAAAGUGGAUGCAAGGGGUCCCGGGUUCAAAUCCCGGCUGAGCCC